rnacentral:rRNA from 1 species
AUUGAACGCUGGCGGCAGGCCUAACACAUGCAAGUCGAGCGAGAGGAGGAAGGGUGAGUAAUGUCUGGGAAACGGCCUGAUGGAGGGGGAUAACAACUGGAAACGGUAGAUAAUACCGCACACCAUCAGAUGUGCCCAGAUGGGAUUAGCUAGUGGGUGGGGUGACGGCUAACCUAGGCGACGAUCCCUAGCUGUUCUGAGAGGAGGACCAGCCACACUGGAACUGAGCCACGGUCCAGACUCCUACGGUAGGCAGCAGUGGGGAAUAUUGCACAAUGGGCGCAAUCCUGAUACAGCCAUGCCGCGUGUGUGAAGAAGGCCUUCGGUUUGUAAAGCACUUUCAGCGGGGAGGCGUUACCCGCAGAAGAAGCACCGGCUAACUCCGUGCCAGCAGCCGCGGUAAUAC